rnacentral:tRNA from 1 species
CAAAAUAUAGCUUAACCAAAGCCCUUCGCUUACACCGAAGAACUAUCUGUUAAACUCAGAUUAUUUUGA